GUACUCACUUUGGCAGCACAAACAUUAAAUUGGAAUGAUACAGAGAAGAUUAGCAUGGCUCCUGCACAAGGGUGACACAUAAAUAACAAACUCCAUCUUUGAUUAU
ensembl:snRNA U6 U6 spliceosomal RNA